GCGGAGGAAAAGAAACUAACAAGGAUUCCCCUAGUAACGGCGAGUGAACCGGGAAGAGCUCAAAUUUGAAAUCUGGCGUCCUCAGGGCGUCCGAGUUGUAAUCUAUAGAGGCGUUUUCCGUGCCGGACCGUGUCCAAGUUCCUUGGAACAGGAUAUCAAAGAGGGUGACAAUCCCGUACUUGACACGACGACCGGUGCUCUGUGAUACGUCUUCUACGAGUCGAGUUGUUUGGGAAUGCAGCUCAAAAUGGGUGGUGAGUUCCAUCUAAAGCUAAAUAUUGGCGAGAGACCGAUAGCGAACAAGUACCGUGAGGGAAAGAUGAAAAGCACUUUGGAAAGAGAGUUAAACAGUACGUGAAAUUGUUGAAAGGGAAACGAUUGAAGUCAGUCGUGACCGAGAGGCUCAGCCGGUUCUGCCGGUGUAUUCCCCUCGGUCGGGUCAACAUCAGUUUUGUCCGGUGGAUAAGGGCGGUAGGAAGGUGGCACCCUCGGGUGUGUUAUAGCCUGCCGUCGCAUACAUCGGGUGAGACUGAGGAACGCAGCUCGCCUUUAUGGCCGGGGUUCGCCCACGUCCGAGCUUAGGAUGUUGACAUAAUGGCUUUAAACGACCCGUCUUGAAACACGGA
rnacentral:rRNA from 1 species